rnacentral:rRNA from 1 species
UACGUAGGGGCUAGCGUUAUCCGGAAUUACUGGGCGUAAAGGGUGCGUAGGUGGUUUCUUAAGUCAGAGGUGAAAGGCUACGGCUCAACCGUAGUAAGCCUUUGAAACUGGGAAACUUGAGUGCAGGAGAGGAGAGUGGAAUUCCCGGUGUAGCGGUGAAAUGCGCAGAGAUCAGGAGGAAUACCGAAGGCGAAGGCAGUCUUCCAAGCCGUUAUUGACGCUCAACUGCGAAGGUGUGGGUAUCAAACAGGAUUAGAUACCCCUGUAGUCCCUGAGCGGG